UAUAACUACUGCCUGGUACUCUUGGAGGAAGUAUAGAUGGAGUCAAGCAGCCACAUGUCUAGGUUGCAGCCUCAGCUGAGGACCCAAACAACAUCUAGCAUUGACCACCUCUGAGAUGACUCUAGCACCAGUCAUCAUCCAACUGCAUCUAUGUGAGAAAUCCAAAGCAGGAACCUUGGGUGAAAUCUGUUCCUGACCCGCUGCCACUGAACCUGUCUGAGAUCCCAGAGUCCCGGUUGGAAACUGAAUAGAUCAGGAACUUUGGAGACUGGCCCGGCUUCUGCAGGACUCAGAGAUGACAUUGUUUGUAUUGCGGACAGUAGAACCAUUGACAAAAUCAUUUGCAAGAUGACCAAGAAGAUACUUGUCACAUCCAAACUGAAGAACAAGACACUUUCUUAGAACCUUAGAAGAUGAACUGUGUGUUGGAAGCAAAAUCACUCUGAAUCUUUGGAGAAAGACAAUCGUAUUAAAAGAGGGAAGAGCUCUUUCUCCUCUCAGAAUCAGCAACAGCAUAUUGAGAACAAAGCACAUUGGACAUAUAAGUAACUCUAGAAGAGAAAGACAUUGAGAGUUAUUAAUUAACCAAUGUGCAUAUGCAUGAUAUCACCUCACUGAUUGCACUUCUAAGCUUAAGCAGCUGAUGAGUCUGGAUAGUUGAGUGACACAGGAUGUUCACACUGAUGCUGUCCUGUCCUCCAAGGCAAAGGGAAGGUUGAUCCUCAGCAAGGAAGGAGCAGACACAGACAUGACGCCAGUGAUACAUUCUGAGCUCAGGGCCUUCAGUGGCUCAUUUUUCCAAUAUCUUGUUUCUGCUUUUGGGUUGUUCAAGGGUAGGAAGUAAAAUUAUUUACCUCCAAGGAAGUUAAUCACGAUGGUUUUCAUAUUAUUGAGAUAAAGAGAGAAAUUAUUC
rnacentral:lncRNA from 1 species